UUCCGGUUUUGUUUGAAUAAAAAUUGUAUAGUUAAUGCAACAGCAUAUGUAAAUAGAGAAUACUGCAACAUUUCAUCUAAUGCACCCGAACAUUCGCAUUCGUUGUUUACAGAAGGUUAGAAAAGGAAAUAUUCAAAGGAAAUUUUUGUUCGUGUUCCUAUACAUUUUUCUCUAAUUUUAUUCAGCGUUUCAUCGCGAAAUAAAAGACAAAGAGGAUGAGUUUCCGGUCUUCCAUCAGAUUUUCUUUCGUUAAAUAUGAACGAAAGCUAACCGAGUAAUGACAGGUUGAGAUUCUGCGCAUUUUAAAGCAAUUUUGUUCGAAUUUUCGGUGCGUUUGCCCACUGUGCGUCGCAACGAUACCAGAGAUUUUUGUACCGAAAUCUCCGAGUCGAAGAAAGCACAUGGCCUUGCGUGUAGCGCGAUAAAAAUACGCAAAAAGAAACCACAAAAAAAGGAAAAAAAAAAGCAGAAGGGAGCGAAGAGAACGUAGAACCUCCAGGAGGCCUUACACGAGAGCCUCUCGAAUCAACGCCUUCAAGCUAACGUAACACGAUACGUCAGUUCGCAGAAUCACUUUUUAGCGAGUGAACAGUUGAGAGCGAUUUGAAUUUGAGCGGAACACAAAGAUUUUGUGGCAAUGGAACCGUGUGAAAAAGGAAAAAAAAAAGAUUUUGUUGAAAUGCUUCUUCGUCGUACCGUCCAAAAUAUUUCGUUUCUCCCAACUUCGAGCGCUCAUUUUUGUAUAGUUUAUGCGACACGUUGGAGUCUAGUAAUGCUGUUGAAAGUUCACCUCGUUCAUUUUUGCGGUCCGCCGAGUGUAUUCGAAUUUUAUAUACAUAUAUAUUGACGGACUCGCAUAACCACGCGAGCGUUUCAUGUUGUUCGAUUAAAUGUUUCUUAAGGCGUAUUAUAAAAUGGAAAACGAGAAAAAGGAAAAAAAAUGAUGAAUUAAGGAUAACGCUAAAUGAUAUAACGUUUAACGUCCGGCCUGUGUUCGUUCUCGUCGAGACAGGGCAGACGAAGAGGGACAAAGCGAAGAGGAAGAACGUAAAAUGAACGUAGCCAGAUGGUGCAAGAGGGAAAAAAGUAUUCGUCUGUAUGCCAGUGUGUGUACGCAUCAAACUAACUGUCGUCUGUACUUAAUCCAUGGUCGUUGUAUUUCAUUCGCCUAAUUGCCUACGCGAGAAGCACUUAAGGGAUAGUUAUUUUUUCGUCGAGUCAAGAAAUUUCGAGAGUGGGGCGCCUGAAACGGUCGUGAACGAGGACAAGCUGUGUAAGAACGCGAUUCUAACCUAUGUUGCCGUAUAGCAUAUACACGGGGAGACCACUAGCGGUAACACGCAUUUAUUAACGCGACACUGGGAUCUCGAAAUCGUGCAAACGCUUGUUAACAGAUUCGCAAGAGAGAUGGCGCACCUGGAACACCUCUGGUUUCUUACAAAACGACGCGUCUUAUACUGGCUGUAACCCUAUUUUUUGCAGACAUAUACAUACGAGCUGUUUUAAUAUGCCAGAAUACCGAGCGAACUAUCCACGAAUGAAAUUUAUAUCGUUCGUCUUGACUUUUAGAAUUGAUCCCUUUUUUCGACAAUGUUUACAGUUAUUGAUCAGGCCGCCCCGUACUCACGACUUAGCGAUAAAUAUACAAAUAUUUAUGCCACGUAUUGACAGUAAUCGUCGGUAUAUAAAGCCGCUAGAUUGUACGGUUGGUUUGGUUUCUAGACAACGUUGUAUGUUGAAUUAUCUAACGCCACCAGUAGUAGAUAGCACAUACCUACAUGAUGUAUCAUCAGCGACGAGUCGGUUUUUGGUUGACGAGUUACACCGUUGCAUUCGCACCGCGAAACACGAGACAUAAACGCAUGGAAUAAACAGCGAAACUCUCUACGGAAAUUCUAACCUCGUAGGGGAUUAACAUCCGAUGGUAAAAGAAACGACGCACACGUCAGAGAACUAUGUUACCGACCGGUAUCGAUUAGGUUAUGUAAUCGUGUUUUUUGGUGUCCUUUGAAACCUGUCCCUUCGAAAUUCUCCAUGAGUUCGUGCAUAUGUCAAAGAGAGUUUCGUAUGAGAAAUCAUUGCAAAGUUUCCUUCGUUUUACGAGAAUGUAUUUUAUCUAAACAGCCAUUCCAUGAAAUAGGGAAAUGAAAGGGAGAGAAGUGCGGAACGUAAUGAAGAGAAAAGGAAGAAAAUGUCACGUUACGAUAAACGUUUCACGGUGAUUAAUUUUUCAUACCUGCACGAACUUUUGAUAUCAAGGAAAGAGUCGCAUCAAUGUGACCCUAUUUAUU
rnacentral:lncRNA from 1 species